UGCAGAUCUGUACCCAUUAGCUGUCCAUGGAUUAAUUAUUGGGCUGGAAAUGGCAGUUUAAAACCCUGAAGGAUUCAGGACAAUUUCCUGUGGUGUCUCUGUAAAGCUGCAAAUGCCAUGUCAGAAACAACAGGGAGCCCCAGACUGUGUGACGUGGAGUGAGAGGAGAACUAUAAACAGUCUUAAAUACUGAUUGAACCGGGAGAAAGCCUCAAUUAUUAAUCUAGCCUUAUUCAGUCUGAUUUUUCCACUGAUUUCUAACAAGAUCCUUAUCUCAGAAUGGAAAUCACUGGUAAGUGUUAUGAUGGAGUAUAGUUAUUUUACAUGUGAAUGGUGCACAUACUCUUUAUCAGUAGUGCCCACAACCAACUGUGUGUGGUUCCAGAGAAAGUCUCCUCACCCCCAAAGCUGACUGAUGCACAUACCGAACAUGUAAUCACAGUUUGAUUCUCUCCCUCCUCCUUACUGUAAGUAGGCCAACAGAGCUUGGGAUGAAUUGAAAACAUACAUCUAUUGAUGGUAACUAUACUCAGCCUUUUCUUAAAACAAGCCUGAUCAUUUCCCU